CUCUCUCUCUCUCUCUCUCUCUGACUGGACCUGAUGCUGCAGAAACUCUUUGCUGCUCAGCCGAUGGAGAAGCAAUGACAAGAAACCUCCUGAUUUCAAAGCAGAUUCAUUUGUUUUUAAAUGAACUUGUCCUACUAAUCUAACCUGUCCUUAAAAUAUAUCAUAAAUAUAUUGGGUGUACAGCAUGUUUGUAAUUUUAAUGUAUUUUUUCUACUCUAAUUUUAUAUUUAAUGUGUUUUUUCUGAGAGCAUUGAAACAAAGUCAAACUCCGUGUUAAGCUGAUGACUGAAGCUGAUCGUGUUGCUCUGUUCCAGCCUGCCCACCGCCGCCUCCUGCUGUUGAGACUCACUCAGUUCCGGAUGAACCCAGACUGCCCCCUGCUGAUGAGAACACAAGAAAUCACUUUGCUGCUGUCGCCUCCCUGAUCCUCUUCCUCUCUCAUCUCAUCCUCACCGCGGUGGCUCAGUGUGGAGCUCAUGGGUCGCAGCAGAACCGAAACCCGGAGCAGCAGAUCUGAAGACUCCAACACAUCUGCUGCAGGAUGUUUAUCUCUGCAUUUUAGGUUUUAGUCUUCUAUUAUCUUAAUAUUAGCAGUUUUAUUUAUGUAUAUACUGUAUAUACUGUAUAUAUAAACAAUAAACAGAUGCAUGCAGAACUAACACAAAGUUAGAUUCCUGAAGACUUUCUGCAAAAUAGGGCCAAAUGUUGAGACUUUUUCAUGAAGCUAAUCUGGUUCUUAGCCAGCUGUCCUGCUCCGGGUUAUGAAAUCUCUGUAAAGGGAAAUGUCUAAUUGUUAUUACAGUGAGUCAGUUUUGAGUUACAGUGAGUCAGUUUUGAGUUACAGUGAAUCAGUUUUGAGUUACAGUGAAUCAGUUUUGAGUUACAGUGAGUCAGUUUUGAAUUACAGUGAGUCAGUUUUGAGUUACAGUGAGUCAGUUUUGAGUUACAGUGAAUCAGUUUUGAGUUACAGUGAAUCAUCCAGAACUUCCUCUGAUGAAUCCAAACUUUUCCUCAGACUAAAAGACGUUUUAAUCUAGAAAAAUACCGUUAGACAAAUAUUUGAUAAACUUUGAUUCUCUGCUAAAAAACAACCUGACAUUCUUUAUGUUGUAUAAUCAUCGUUCAUAAAUUGGUGUUGAUGAGUUUUAUGGUUGUAUCUAAGAAAAUAAAAAUAAUUUAAAUUCC